GAUGAACGCUAGCGACAGGCUUAACACAUGCAAGUCGAGGGGUAACAGGGUAGCAAUACCGCUGACGACCGGCGCACGGGUGAGUAACGCGUAUGCAACCUGCCUAUAACUGUGGAAUAGCUCCCUGAAAGGGGAAUUAACACCGCAUAACACUAUUGAUUCGCAUGGAUUGGUAGUUAAAUGUAGCGAUACAGGUUAUAGAUGGGCAUGCGUGACAUUAGCUAGUUGGUGAGGUAACGGCUCACCAAGGCUACGAUGUCUAGGGGUUCUGAGAGGAAGGUCCCCCACACUGGUACUGAGACACGGACCAGACUCCUACGGGAGCAGCAGUGAGGAAUAUUGGUCAAUGGGCGCAAGCCUGAACCAGCCAUGUCGCGUGCAGGAAGACUGCCCUAUGGGUUGUAAACUGCUUUUAUAGUAGAAGAAACACAUCUACGCGUAGAUGUCUGCCAGUAUACUAUGAAUAAGC
rnacentral:rRNA from 1 species